AUGCUGUAUUUUUACAAACUCGCAAGCUUAAAUAACACUGGUCGAAUCAGAGCCAGGGACAGACUGAAAAGGAAAAUAAAGGGCCGAUGCUGUGGUCUAAAAGAACUCGAAGUCGAGGAACUUGCCGCCGGACUUCACCUCGGCGGCGCCGAUCACCGUCUUGCUCGCCGGAGGCUGGUGGGUCGGCCCGCACUUGGCCGGUGGCUCGGCCUCGACGUGCUUGGGCACCUCGGGAGGCGUGCUGCACCGGAUGAGCGCCCAGUUGACGCCCUCGAAGAAGGGGUGCUGCUUGAUCUCGGCGGCGCCCCGCUUGACGCCGAGCCGCUGCUGCGGCUCCUUGACCAGCAGGCCCCUGACGAGGUCCCUGGCGGCGUAGCUCGUGGACGGCGACUCCGGGAAGCGCAGCUGCUGGCCGACGACGUUGAAGAGCGUGGCGCGGUUGCCCGACCCCUUGAAGGGCGUCCUGCCGUAGAGCAGCUCGUGCAGGAAGACGCCCAGGGUCCACCAGUCGACGGCGCUGCCGUGGCCCUCGCCCUUGAUGAUCUCCGGGGCCAGGUAUUCGUGCGUCCCCACGAACGACAUGGACCGCGCCGCCGUCGGCUCCGCCACCAGCUCCGGCACGCCCUGCCCGAGCUCGGAACCCUGCCGCCGCCUCAUGCUCCUCUGGCCGAACAGCCUGGGCAUGAAGCACGCGGGCUGGACGCAGGCCGCGGAGGGCUCCAUGCAGGCGGAGGGCCGCACGCAGAAGGCGCCGCCUGCUCUCCUGGGGUCGGAGUCGCACGCCGGAGCUCUGACGAGCGUCGGCGACACCGCGCACUGCUGCAGCGACAGGUCGAAGUCGGAGAGCAUGAUGUGGCCGUCGUCGCGCACCAGCACGUUCUCCGGCUUCAGGUCCCGGUAGACCACCCCCAGCAUGUGCAGGUACUCCAGAGCCAGGAGCACCUCCGCAGCAUAAAACCUGCCCAGCACACGCGCUGA
rnacentral:rRNA from 1 species